rnacentral:piRNA from 1 species
UAGGAUUUACGGCUGGCUAAGUCUUUUGG